CCGUACACAAAAGCGCAUGUGCUGUGAGCUCGAUGAGUAGGGCGGGACACGUGGUAUCCUGUCUGAAUAUGGGGGGACCAUCCUCCAAGGCUAAAUACUCCUGACUGACCGAUAGUGAACCAGUACCGUGAGGGAAAGGCGAAAAGAACCCCGGCGAGGGGAGUGAAAAAGAACCUGAAACCGUGUACGUACAAGCAGUGGGAGCACCCUUCGGGGUGUGACUGCGUACCUUUUGUAUAAUGGGUCAGCGACUUAUAUUCUGUAGCAAGGUUAACCGUAUAGGGGAGCCGGAGGGAAACCGAGUCUUAACCGGGCGUUAAGUUGCAGGGUAUAGACCCGAAACCCGGUGAUCUAGCCAUGGGCAGGUUGAAGGUUGGGUAACACUAACUGGAGGACCGAACCGACUAAUGUUGAAAAAUUAGCGGAUGACCUGUGGCUGGGGGUGAAAGGCCAAUCAAACCGGGAGAUAGCUGGUUCUCCCCGAAAGCUAUUUAGGUAGCGCCUCGUGAAUUCAUCUCCGGGGGUAGAGCACUGUUUCGGCUAGGGGGCCAUCCCGGCUUACCAACCCGAUGCAAACUGCGAAUACCGGAGAAUGUUAUCACGGGAGACACACGGCGGGUGCUAACGUCCGUCGUGAAGAGGGAAACAACCCAGACCGCCAGCUAAGGUCCCAAAGUCAUGGUUAAGUGGGAAACGAUGUGGGAAGGCCCAGACAGCCAGGAUGUUGGCUUAGAAGCAGCCAUCAUUUAAAGAAAGCGUAAUAGCUCACUGGUCGAGUCGGCCUGCGCGGAAGAUGUAACGGGGCUAAACCAUGCACCGAAGCUGCGGCAGCGAACGUAUCACCCAAGACAACUUUACGGAGUUGACGAUUGACGGAGCGAAGCGACGUCAAAGCGUUCAUUAAAGUCGAGUUGGCUUAGGGAUACGUUCGUUGGGUAGGGGAGCGUUCUGUAAGCCUGUGAAGGUGUGUCGUGAGGCAUGCUGGAGGUAUCAGAAGUGCGAAUGCUGACAUAAGUAACGAUAAAGCGGGUGAAAAGCCCGCUCGCCGGAAGACCAAGGGUUCCUGUCCAACGUUAAUCGGGGCAGGGUGAGUCGACCCCUAAGGCGAGGCCGAAAGGCGUAGUCGAUGGGAAACGGGUUAAUAUUCCCGUACUUGGUGUUACUGCGAAGGGGGGACGGAGAAGGCUAUGUUGGCCGGGCGACGGUUGUCCCGGUUUAAGCGUGUAGGUGUGUGUUCCAGGUAAAUCCGGUUCACUUUAACACUGAGGCGUGACGACGAGGCACUACGGUGCUGAAGCAACAAAUGCCCUGCUUCCAGGAAAAGCCUCUAAGCAUCAGGUAACAUCAAAUCGUACCCCAAACCGACACAGGUGGUCAGGUAGAGAAUACCAAGGCGCUUGAGAGAACUCGGGUGAAGGAACUAGGCAAAAUGGUGCCGUAACUUCGGGAGAAGGCACGCUGACACGUAGGUGAAGUGAUUUACUCAUGGAGCUGAAGUCAGUCGAAGAUACCAGCUGGCUGCAACUGUUUAUUAAAAACACAGCACUGUGCAAACACGAAAGUGGACGUAUACGGUGUGACGCCUGCCCGGUGCCGGAAGGUUAAUUGAUGGGGUCAGCGCAAGCGAAGCUCCUGAUCGAAGCCCCGGUAAACGGCGGCCGUAACUAUAACGGUCCUAAGGUAGCGAAAUUCCUUGUCGGGUAAGUUCCGACCUGCACGAAUGGCGUAAUGAUGGCCAGGCUGUCUCCACCCGAGACUCAGUGAAAUUGAACUCGCUGUGAAGAUGCAGUGUACCCGCGGCAAGACGGAAAGACCCCGUGAACCUUUACUAUAGCUUGACACUGAACAUUGAGCCUUGAUGUGUAGGAUAGGUGGGAGGCUUUGAAGUGUGGACGCCAGUCUGCAUGGAGCCGACCUUGAAAUACCACCCUUUAAUGUUUGAUGUUCUAACGUGGACCCGUAAUCCGGGUUGCGGACAGUGUCUGGUGGGUAGUUUGACUGGGGCGGUCUCCUCCUAAAGAGUAACGGAGGAGCACGAAGGUUGGCUAAUCCUGGUCGGACAUCAGGAGGUUAGUGCAAUGGCAUAAGCCAGCUUGACUGCGAGCGUGACGGCGCGAGCAGGUGCGAAAGCAGGUCAUAGUGAUCCGGUGGUUCUGAAUGGAAGGGCCAUCGCUCAACGGAUAAAAGGUACUCCGGGGAUAACAGGCUGAUACCGCCCAAGAGUUCAUAUCGACGGCGGUGUUUGGCACCUCGAUGUCGGCUCAUCACAUCCUGGGGCUGAAGUAGGUCCCAAGGGUAUGGCUGUUCGCCAUUUAAAGUGGUACGCGAGCUGGGUUUAGAACGUCGUGAGACAGUUCGGUCCCUAUCUGCCGUGGGCGCUGGAGAACUGAGGGGGGCUGCUCCUAGUACGAGAGGACCGGAGUGGACGCAUCACUGGUGUUCGGGUUGUCAUGCCAAUGGCACUGCCCGGUAGCUAAAUGCGGAAGAGAUAAGUGCUGAAAGCAUCUAAGCACGAAACUUGCCCCGAGAUGAGUUCUCCCUGAGACUUAGAGUCUCCUGAAGGAACGUUGAAGACGACGACGUUGAUAGGCCGGGUGUGUAAGCGCAGCGAUGCGUUGAGCUAACCGGUACUAAUGAACCGUGAGGCUUAACCUUACA
rnacentral:rRNA from 1 species